rnacentral:rRNA from 1 species
CGGACGGGUGAGUAACGCGUGGGGAACCUGCCUCAUACAGGGGAAUAACAGCUGGAAACGGCUGCUAAUGCCGCAUAAGCGCACGGCACCGCAUGGUGCAGUGUGAAAAACUCCGGUGGUAUGAGAUGGCCCCGCGUCUGAUUAGGCAGUUGGCGGGGUAACGGCCCACCAAACCGACGAUCAGUAGCCGACCUGAGAGGGUGACCGGCCACAUUGGGACUGAGACACGGCCCAAACUCCUACGGGAGGCAGCAG